GGUCCUGCCUGCCCAGUGACUCUACGUUCAACGGCCGCGGUAUUUUAACCGUGCAAAGGUAGCGCAAUAACUUGUCUUUUAAAUGAAGACUAGUAUGAAUGGCCUCACGAGGGCUUAUCUGUCUCCUUUUUUAAGUCAAUGAAAUUGAUCUCCCCGUGCAAAAGCGGGGAUACAAACAUAAGACGAGAAGACCCUGUGGAGCUUUAGACACCAAGAUAGACCACGUUAAUAAUACCUCAACAAGGGUCUAAACUAAAACUUUCCUACUCUGAUGUCUUUGGUUGGGGCGACCGCGGAGAAUAAAAUAACCUCCCCUCCGCGUGGAGUGGGGCCAUAAAAACUAAAAUCCCUACAACCAAGAGUCACAACUCGAACUAACAGAACCUUCUGACCAUAAAUGAUCCGGCAUUCGACCGAUCAACGAACCAAGUUACCCCAGGGAUAACAGCGCAAUCCCCUUUUAGAGCCCGUAUCAACAAGGGGGUUUACGACCUCGAUGUUGGAUCAGGACAUCCUAAUGGUGCAACCGCUAUUAAGGGUUCGUUUGUUCAA
rnacentral:rRNA from 1 species